rnacentral:rRNA from 1 species
UACGAAGGGGGCUAGCGUUGUUCGGAAUCACUGGGCGUAAAGCGCACGCAGGCGGAUUGAUAAGUCAGGGGUGAAAUCCCGGGGCUCAACCUCGGAAUUGCCUUUGAUACUGUCUGUCUUGAGUUCGGGAGAGGUUGGCGGAAUUCCUAGUGUAGAGGUGAAAUGCGUAGAUAUCAGGAGGAACACCUGUGGUGUAGACAGCUUACUGGACCAUCACUGACGCUGAGACACGAAAGCGUGGGUAGCAAACAGG